rnacentral:tRNA from 1 species
GAGGGUAUAGCUCAGCGGUUUAGUGCAUGCUUAACAUGCGUGAGGUCCUGGAUUCAAUUCCCAGUACCUCCU